rnacentral:rRNA from 1 species
UGCUUGCACCGAGCGGAUGAGUUGCGAACGGGUGAGUAACGCGUAGGUAACCUGCCUCUUAGCGGGGGAUAACUAUUGGAAACGAUAGCUAAUACCGCAUAAAAGUCGACAUUGCAUGAUGUUGACUUGAAAGGUGCAAUUGCAUCACUAAGAGAUGGACCUGCGUUGUAUUAGCUAGUUGGUGAGGUAACGGCUCACCAAGGCGACGAUACAUAGCCGACCUGAGAGGGUGAUCGGCCACACUGGGACUGAGACACGGCCCAGACUCCUACGGGAGGCAGCAGUAGGGAAUCUUCGGCAAUGGGGGCAACCCUGACCGAGCAACGCCGCGUGAGUGAAGAAGGUUUUCGGAUCGUAAAGCUCUGUUGUAAGAGAAGAACGAGUGUGAGAGUGGAAAGUUCACGCUGUGACGGUAUCUUACCAGAAAGGGACGGCUAACUACGUGCCAGCAGCCGCGGUAAUACGUAGGUCCCGAGCGUUAUCCGGAUUUAUUGGGCGUAAAGCGAGCGCAGGCGGUUAGAUAAGUCUGAAGUUAAAGGCUGUGGCUUAACCAUAGUACGCUUUGGAAACUGUUUAACUUGAGUGCAGAGGGGGAGAGUGGAAUUCCAUGUGUAGCGGUGAAAUGCGUAGAUAUAUGGAGGAACACCGGUGGCGAAAGCGGCUCUCUGGUCUGU